rnacentral:sRNA from 1 species
GGUGGGAUCACCUGAGGUCAGGAGUUCGAGACCAGCCUCACCAACAUGGUGAAACCCUAUCUCUACUAAAAAUACAAAUAUUAGCCGGGCGUGGUGGCGCAUGCCUGUAGUCCCAGCUACCCGGGAGACUGAGGCAGGAGAAUCGCUUGAACCUGGGAGGCAGAGGUUGCAGUGAGCAAGCUGCACUCCAGCCUGUGUGACAGAGCAAGACUCCGUCUCAAAAAAAAAAAGAAAAGAAAGAAACAAACAAACAAACAAAAAUAGUUAUGUGGGUUUUCGUUGACAUAUUUUUGGGAAACCUUGAUGUAUGUAUUCAGAGGACUUCUAAGCCAUAAGAGACCCAAGUGCCUUGAGGAGCCACAUACUUUUCCCUGCGCUGCUUAUUUCUGAGGUGGUUAAUAAUAUCGACUCUGGGAAGAUUGAUUUUUCAAGACUCCUUCCCAUUUCUUAAUUUAUUUCUGCUUACUUAGUUUGGUUUUUUAUUUUUAGCAGACAUUUUAGCAAAGCAGAAAUAUAUUUUUCCUGUGGAUUUUAGACUUGCAUUCUUAUAUUUACAAACUUACAAAAACUUAUCCCAGAAUUAAUUUUUUUUUCAAAUGCUUAGGCAAAUUAAGUAUGAUCAAGUCUUCUUUAUUGUGUGCUGUAAAAAUGGAGUGGCGGCAAGAAUGUAAUACAGGGCAUCUGACUGCUGAGGAAAAGAAAAAA